rnacentral:rRNA from 1 species
CGCGGCCUAUCAGCUUGUUGGUGAGGUAAUGGCUCACCAAGGCAUCGACGGGUAGCUGGUCUGAGAGGACGAUCAGCCACACUGGGACUGAGACACGGCCCAGACUCCUACGGGAGGCAGCAGUGGGGAAUAUUGCGCAAUGGGCGAAAGCCUGACGCAGCAACGCCGCGUGUGGGAUGACAGCUUUCGGGUUGUAAACCACUUUCAGUGACGACGAAAAUGACGGUAGUCACAGAAGAAGGUCCGGCCAACUACGUGCCAGCAGCCGCGGUAACACGUAGGGACCAAGCGUUGUCCGGAUUUAUUGGGCGUAAAGAGCUCGUAGGCGGUUCCGUAAGUCGGAUGUGAAAACUCAGGGCUCAACCCUGAGACGCCAUCUGAUACUGCGGUGACUAGAGUCCGGUAGGGGAGCAUGGAAUUCCUGGUGUAGCGGUGGAAUGCGCAGAUAUCAGGAGGAACACCAAUGGCGAAGGCAGUGCUCUGGGCCGGAACUGACGCUGAGGAGCGAAAGCAUGGGGAGCAAACAGGAUUAGAUACCCUGGUAGUCCAUGCCGUAAACGUUGGGCACUAGGUGUGGGAUCUUCUAACGGAUUCCGUGCCGUAGCUAACGCAUUAAGUGCCCCACCUGGGGAGUACGG